CUACCUCCAAGUUGGGGACAACCUUCCGAAAGGAGGGCUAAUACCGAAUGAGACCACAGCUACUAUGUAGCAGGGGUUAAAGGUGGCCUCUUCUUGAAAGCUAUCACUUGGAGAUGAGCUUAUGCACCAUCAGCUAGUUGGUAGGGUAACGGCCUACCAAGGCUUUGACGGUUAGCUGAUCUGAGAGGUUGAUCAGCCACACUGGAACUGAGACACGGUCCAG
rnacentral:rRNA from 1 species